rnacentral:rRNA from 1 species
GCUUGUUUGAACCGCAUGGUUCAAACAUAAAAGGUGGCUUCGGCUACCACUUACAGAUGGACCCGCGGCGCAUUAGCUAGUUGGUGAGGUAAUGGCUCACCAAGGCAACGAUGCGUAGCCGACCUGAGAGGGUGAUCGGCCACACUGGGACUGAGACACGGCCCAGACUCCUACGGGAGGCAGCAGUAGGGAAUCUUCCGCAAUGGACGAAAGUCUGACGGAGCAACGCCGCGUGAGUGAUGAAGGUUUUCGGAUCGUAAAGCUCUGUUGUUAGGGAAGAACAAGUACCGUUCGAAUAGGGCGGUACCUUGACGGAACCUAACCAGAAAGCCACGGCUAACUACGUGCCAGCAGCCGCGGUAAUACGUAGGUGGCAAGCGUUGUCCGGAAUUAUUGGGCGUAAAGGGCUCGCAGGCGGUUUCUUAAGUCUGAUGUGAAAGCCCCCGGCUCAACCGGGGAGGGUCAUUGGAAACUGGGGAACUUGAGUGCAGAAGAGGAGAGUGGAAUUCCACGUGUAGCGGUGAAAUGCGUAGAGAUGUGGAGGAACACCAGUGGCGAAGGCGACUCUCUGGUCUGUAACUGACGCUGAGGAGCGAAAGCGUGGGGAGCGAACAGGAUUAGAUACCGCUGGUAGUCCACGCCGUAAACGAUGAGUGCUAAGUGUUAGG